ensembl:lncRNA
AGGAUCCACCCCUUCCCACACCUUGUUUAGGGGUUGGUAGGGGAGGUGAGAGUGUGUUGCUGGAGAUCCUUGCCUAUGUGAGGCCUUCUGAAGAUCUGUUCAACAGAACUCGCAUGAUGUUGGAAUUCAUGGAGAAUUCAUUUCCAUUAGUCAAGAACAAGUCAGUGAUGAUUUUCAUUGUUUGUGAGGUGGACGUGUGGAGUAAAGAUGUAGAUAUUUUCAGAUGCCUGAAGAUUCAAAAGUCUCCUUAUACAGUGCAAGUCUGCUUUUCUCCUGCUGCCAGAGAGAGGUGAACAUAGAGAGGACGGACAGAUUCUUUUUUUUUUUUUCACUGCUUUAUGAUGAUGAUGGUAUUUUGACUACACCUGAUUGCUUUCUGAUUUUUAAGGAAAAGGCUAAACAAGAAAACAACAACUUAAAUAUUACAAAAGUCUGAAAAUGAUCUCUACUGCAGUAUUUUGGAACUCUAGAAUUACCUAUAGAUUUGAGGAUUAUAGGCAACAUACGCUGCAACUUCUCUGAGAUCGUACCGCUGCCAAAUGAUGACUCAUUCCCCAGUCCCACAGUCCUGCAGGGAACUAAGCUGUGCCAGACCUCUUCGUGGUUUAUCUCUAUCUCUGUGCUGGAUCAGCUGUGCUGGCUGACAAGCUCUAUCAUGAUCAAAUCUAGGAAUUCAUGAGUCAGACUUCAAUGCUGCAAAAUUAACUUUCAAACCAUAACGGUUUAUAUGCAUACAGACAUAUACAUGCUCCCAUCCACUCAAAUUAUAAAAUGUGUAGCUCCAUGUCUAUUGAUUACUGUAUUCCUAUUUUAUGUCUUCUGGAUUUACUCCUCAUAGUGUUUAUUCUAUAUGCCUGAAAAUUAGAAACAUUUAUUUUAACUGUAAAAGAAACAAAGAUAAAAAAACAUUAUUUUACUUAUUUUGCCAUAGAGCUAUGGAAACUAGACUUAAAAU